CCUACGGGUGGCAGCAGUGAGGAAUAUUGGUCAAUGGACGAGAGUCUGAACCAGCCAAGUAGCGUGAAGGAUGACUGCCCUAUGGGUUGUAAACUUCUUUUAUAUGGGAAUAACAUGUUCCACGUGUGGGCUUUUGUAUGUACCAUAUGAAUAAGGAUCGGCUAACUCCGUGCCAGCAGCCGCGGUAAUACGGAGGAUCCGAGCGUUAUCCGGAUUUAUUGGGUUUAAAGGGAUCGUAGGUGGAUUGUUAAGUCAGUUGUGAAAGUUUGCGGCUCAACCGUACAAUUGCAGUUGAAACUGGCAGUCUUGAGUACAGUAGAGGUGGGCGGAAUUCGUGGUGUAGCGGUGAAAUGCUUAGAUAUCACGAAGAACUCCGAUUGCGAAGGCAGCUCACUGGACUGCAACUGACACUGAGGCUCGAAAGUGUGGGUAUCAAACAGGAUUAGAUACCCGAGUAGUC
rnacentral:rRNA from 1 species